UCUCCCGGAGGCGCAUGAUGUCCUCGGCCAGGUUGUCGCGCUCCACCUCGACGCGGGCUUUGUCGUUGGUUAGCUGGUCCACCUGCCGGCGCAGCUCCCGCAUCUCCUCCUCGUAGAGGUCCCCCAGGCGCGACUUGCCUUGGCCCUUGAGCUGCUCGAGCUCGGCCAGCAGGAUCUUAUUCUGCUGCUCCAGGAAGCGCACCUUGUCGAUGUAGUUGGCGAAGCGGUCAUUCAGCUCCUGCAGCUCCACCUUCUCGUUGGUGCGGGUGUUCUUGAACUCGGUGUUGAUGGCGUCGGCCAGCGAGAAGUCCACCGAGUCCUGCAGGAGCCGCACCCCGGGCACGCUGCUCCGCAGGCGCACGGCAGAGGAGCGCGUGGCAUACACGCCGCCCGGGGACGAGGCGUAGAGGCUGCGGCUGGUGCGGGUGGACGUAGUCACGUAGCUCCGGCUGGAGCUCGGCCGGCUCGCGGUGCCCGGGCCGCCGAACAUCCUGCGACAGCAAAGCUCCCUUUGGAUGACAUAGAUUUAUUACUUAGUAGUAUAUUAUGUAUUGGCUGUCCCACAUUUUGAAAUUUAAUGGACUCGUGGUGAUCAGAAUAAAAGAAGCCUUCGAUGUGAGGCCCAGGCAUUGAGUACCAUGUGUGCGAUUCACAAGCCUUGGCAUCUGAACAAUUUUUUGGAAGGAUCCAUCAGGACAACACGUCGGGGGUGUACUAGUGAAGUGAUUUUCCAAAUGUGCUACUCAGACCUGUAGCAUCAGCAUCACCGGAUAAUUUGUUAGAAAUUCCAACUGUUAGGCCCCACUUUAGACCAACUGAAUGUGAAACUCUGGGAGUACGUGGGGCCCAGCAAUUUGUGUUUUUACAAGACUUACCAGGUGAUUCUGAGAACCACUGUGCUAGUGAAUUGUUCCUGUCUGUGGCCACGUAGAAUAAGAAAACCAUAGGGUUGGAAAAUGGGGAAACUGGUGAGUGUUCGCUUAUGAGGAAAUGAAGAAUAGAUAGAAAAGAAUUAGUUAACUUUUGGAAUUCAAAAGAGAAGCAGUUUGUAAAAGCCAGGAAUUUGAUUUGAAGGACUAAUUGCUUGCAGAAUCUUUGCUUUCUCAGAGAGGGGCAAUCCAGAUCACUAGGUUACCGUGAAAUAUGUUGGUAUGGCUCUAAAAUUCUAGAAUAAUCUCUCUAGUGAGAAAAGGCAUACCUUUCCAUAUUAGGACAAAACUUCAAAUCAGGUUUGUAAAAUCCUAUAAGAUUAUUGUAUCCCAUUGCCAUGGCCAACUUGUUUGUCUCUGGAGAUCCCAGUUUCUACAUCUGAAAACCAUAUGCAUUCCUGCUCACCAGGAAUUAUCUCGCUGAAUGAAGCAAGAGAUUCAGGAUGUGUAAGAGAAUUUAUGAAGCAUUUGGAUUACCAAGAAAUGUGAAGUAUAAAGAUCAAGAAUGAUUAUUACAAACACUGAUGGUAAAGAGGUGUUUCGAAGUCGAUGCAAAAAAUGAGUUGCUUAUUUCAGUCUCUCUUUGAUAUAUCUGCCUUUUUAGUGCUGACUCUAUCAUGUAUUCACUAUUUGAUUUUCAGUGAAUCACAUUUUUUAAAGCUUUUAAUCUGUUUCCUCAAAAAAUAUAUUUUUUAAAAAUAUUUACUCAGGAUUGUUGUGAGAAUAAAAUUGAUUCGAUUGAUAUUUCAAAAAAGAAAUAUAUUUUUAAAAAAUAAAGCAAUACCAUUUUUGGAUAUGCU
rnacentral:lncRNA from 1 species